rnacentral:rRNA from 1 species
GACGAACGCUGGCGGCGUGCCUAACACAUGCAAGUCGAACGGAAAGGCCCUGCUUUUGUGCGUUGCUCGAGUGGCGAACGGGUGAGUAACACGUGAGUAACCUGUCCUUGACUUUGUGAUAUCUUCAGGAAACUGGGGCUCUUACCGCAUAGGAUCUCCUGCUGCAUGUUGGUCGUUGGUAAGUUUCGGCGGUUGGGGCUGGACUCGCGGCUUAUCCGCUUGUUGGUGGGGUAGUGGCUUACCAAGGCUUUGACGGGUAGCCGGCAUGAGAGGGUGACCGGCCACAUGGGGACUGAGAGACGGCCCAGACUGCUACGGGAGGCAACAGUGGGGAAUAUGGCACAAUAGGCGGAAGCGAGAUGCAGAAACGCCGCGUGCGGGAAGACGGGUUUCGGGUUGAGAACCGAUGUGGAAUGAAACGAGGAGGGAGUGACGGUAAUGGGUAAAGAAGCAACGGCUAACUACGUG